UACGGGGGGGUGCGAGCGUUGUCCGGAAUCACUGGGCGUAAAGGGCGCGUAGGUGGUUUGAUAAGGGUGUGGUGAAAGUCCGGAGCUCAACUCCGGAUCUGCCGUGCCGACUGUCAAACUCGAGGGCUGUAGAGGCAGACGGAAUUCCGGGUGUAGCGGUGGAAUGCGUAGAGAUCCGGAGGAAGACCGGUGGCGAAGGCGGUCUGCUGGGCAGUUUCUGACACUGAGGCGCGACAGCGUGGGGAGCAAACAGG
rnacentral:rRNA from 1 species